rnacentral:rRNA from 1 species
UCCUACGGGAGGCAGCAGUGGGGAAUUUUGGACAAUGGGGGCAAGCCUGAUCCAGCCAUGCCGCGUGUGUGAAGAAGGCCUUCGGGUUGUAAAGGACUCUUUGUCACGGGAGCAAGUCGUGUUACGUGCUAAGAUCCAGUAUGGAUGACAGUACCUGACGAAUAAGCACCGGCUAACUACGUGCCAGCAGCCGCGGUAAUAUA